rnacentral:rRNA from 1 species
AUUGAACGCUGGCGGUAUGCCUUACACAUGCAAGUCGAACGGCAGCACGGGAGCAAUCCUGGUGGCGAGUGGCGAACGGGUGAGUAAAGCAUCGGAACGUGCCCAGUCGUGGGGGAUAACGUAGCGAAAGCUACGCUAAUACCGCAUACGAUCUGUGGAUGAAAGCGGGGGACCGUAAGGCCUCGCGCGAUUGGAGCGGCCGAUGUCAGAUUAGGUAGUUGGUGAGGUAAAGGCUCACCAAGCCGACGAUCUGUAGCUGGUCUGAGAGGACGACCAGCCACGCGGGGACUGAGACAGGGCCCAGACUCCUAGGGGAGGCAGCAGUGGGGAAUUUUGGACAAUGGGCGCAAGCCUGAUCCAGCAAUGCGGCGUGCAGGAUGAAGGCCUUGGGGUUGUAAACUGCUUUUGUACGGAGCGAAACGGCUUCCACUAAUACUGGGGGCUAAUGACGGUACCGUAAGAAUAAGCACCGGCUAACUACGUGCCAGCAGCCGCCGUAACAC